UGAUUAAAAUAUUUAAGAAAAUUCAAAAGAAUCUCGUCUAAUGCUUAAAUACCGUCUUAUACUAAUUUAUACAACCUUUAGACGGUGUUGUCUUUGAACAACGUUUUAUAAACCUUAUACACUCUUUUGACAAUACAUUUCUUCUUUAACCAAAUAAAAAAAAAAAAAAAAAACCCUAGCCACCACCAAAACAUUCUCUCUACUGCCGGACAUUAAAGGAAUCGCAUACUUGUCUACCACCAGUAACGUAAAUAACAAGAACCCUCUUUCGAUUCUUUUUGUUUUGGUGAAUUUUGUAUGCAUGUAUUUCGGAAAUCCUUUGCUGGACACCAUCUCAAGUCGGUUUCUUGUGAUUUAACAUCUUCACCAUCUUCUUCCCAAACCAGAUUUAUAAAAGGCAAAACCGUAAUUUUAUUAUUAUUAUUUAAUUUUUAUGAAAAAAAAAUAUACGUUUAGGUUAGGUUGUUGUGUUCUUAUAUAAAGGAAAUCUUAUAUGUAUGUAUAUAUAGCAAGAAAAUCGUUUUUUUUUUUCAUUUGUAUUUACAUAAAGGUAAUCGUUUAAUAACUUGUUAUGACUUUGAUUUCACAGAAUUAUUUUGGAUUUGAAAUUUAUCUAGUGUUUUUUUUUUCUAUUUUGUUAUCAAACCUAUUUUGACUUUGGAGAUAAGCUGAUUACAUUCUAUCUACAAUUCGCAUAUUUGUACAAGAAGAAGAGGUUGAGAUUAUCACCCAUGGCUGCAACUGAUCCUGUCGAAACUGGUAGUAGAAUGAGAUUGGGAUUUUAUUAUGAGAUUGAAGAUUCAAUAUACAAUUUCCAUUGUUUUAUAUCACGUUAUCAGCACCUCUGCUCUAUAAUUCUUUGAUUGUUGAAGAUCCCUCAUUCUCUAAGUUGGUGGUUUGCUAGUUGCUGUCCUUGACUCCAAUAUUUCCAUACAUUCAGUUUUUUUUUCAGAUUCAUCCAUUCAGCUAAAAAUGUCAAACUUGUCAAAUCUCAAAUUCACUGCACUUGAAAUCUCGGGCAACAACUAUCCCUCUUGGGCUUUUGAUGUUAAAACUCAUCUGGAAGCAAUGAGUUUGGGGGAGACAAUCAUUGAUGGGAAUAAAACGUCCCUUCAAGAAAAAGCUAAAGCUAUGGCAUUCCUUCGCCUUCAUCUUCAUGAAGACCUAAAGAGGGAAAACCGUACUGUCGAGGAUCCUCUCGAGUUAUGGAAAAACAUUCAAGAAAGAUUUGACCACCUGAAGUUGGUCUUUCUAUCAAAAACUCGUUACAAGUGGGUUUAUUUAAGGCUACGAGAUCAUAAGACUGUUAGUGAGUACAACUCUGCCUUUCUUCGCAUCACCUCUGAGCUUAAAUUAUGUGGUGAACAAAUCACCGACAAAGACAUGAUUGAGCAAACUAUCUCAACGUUCCAUUUAUCAAACAUGCUCCUGGCGCAGCAGUACAGGGAACGUAAUUUUACAAAAUAUUCUGAGCUAAUGUCAUGUUUGUUGAUCGCGGAACAAAACAACAAGCUCAUACUACAAAAUCAUUAAAUGCGUGUUAUGUGAUGAUUUUUUUUAGACUAUAUUUUUUUUCUUUCUUUGUUUGGUUUUUAUUUCAACUCUAGUGGUAUUUUAUGUUUUUGAACUAUUGUUAUGGUUUCACUAAAAAUCUUUGUGAUGUUUGAUU